rnacentral:lncRNA from 1 species
GGCAGGCAUCGGAUACAUCGGUCAAGAGGAUGCUAGCUGUUGUAACAGGGAGAUCCUGAAAUCACAGCCGCUUAAUUCAAUUCCUCAGGUGUGUCCCCUCGCAGAAGAAGGAGGCCAGGUGUUUCCCUGUCGGAACUCGUGGGCUCCCCGCCCGGCUUCAGAGGCUGAGCCUCCUCUCCGAACCAGGUGUGCCAGCAGGUGACAAAGGUUUGGGAGCCUGCCGAGAAGCAUGUGACAGGGAGCAGUGCCGAGGAGUGAUGCCGCUGCAGAUGCUUUCGCUCUUCCAGGCACGGAAGUUGUGCAAGACAGUUAAGCUGAGUCGGCUCAUCUACCAACUGUCCUUGGAGGUACCUCGGAGGUGCCACAGGUUCUGUCCCAGGCCACCAUAAGAACUCGAGUGUGACAGUAAAGCGAGCCCAGGGAGUGUCUUGGUUUUCCAGUGCCUAUGAAAGUUAUGUUUAGGGCGCCUGGGCGGCUCUGUUGGUGAAAUGUCUGCCUUCGGCUCAGGUCGUGAUCUCAGGUCCUAGGAUCGAGCCCAGCAUCAGGCUCCCUGCUCAGCGGAGAGUCCGCUUCUCCCUCUCCCUCUGCCC